AACGCGAAGAACCUUACCUGGGUUUGACAUGCACUAGACAGCUCCAGAGAUGGGGUUUCCCUUGUGGUUGGUGUACAGGUGGUGCAUGGCUGUCGUCAGCUCGUGUCGUGAGAUGUUGGGUUAAGUCCCGCAACGAGCGCAACCCUUGCCCCAUGUUGCCAGCGGGUUAUGCCGGGGACUCGUGGGGGACUGCCGGGGUCAACUCGGAGGAAGGUGGGGAUGACGUCAAGUCAUCAUGCCCCUUAUGCCCAGGGCUUCACACAUGCUACAAUGGCCGGUACAGAGUGUGGCGAUAUCGUGAGGUGGAGCGAAUCCCUUAAAGCCGGUCUCAGUUCGGAUCGGGGUCUGCAACUCGACCCCGUGAAGUCGGAGUCGCUAGUAAUCGCAGAUCA
rnacentral:rRNA from 1 species